rnacentral:rRNA from 1 species
UGACCUGCGGAGGGAUCAUUACCGAGUUUACAACUCCCAAACCCAAUGUGAACGUUACCAAACUGUUGCCUCGGCGGGAUCUCUGCCCCGGGUGCGUCGCAGCCCCGGACCAAGGCGCCCGCCGGAGGACCAACCAAAACUCUUAUUGUAUACCCCCUCGCGGGUUUUUUUAUAAUCUGAGCCUUCUCGGCGCCUCUCGUAGGCGUUUCGAAAAUGAAUCAAAACUUUCAACAACGGAUCUCUUGGUUCUGGCAUCGAUGAAGAACGCAGCGAAAUGCGAUAAGUAAUGUGAAUUGCAGAAUUCAGUGAAUCAUCGAAUCUUUGAACGCACAUUGCGCCCGCCAGUAUUCUGGCGGGCAUGCCUGUCCGAGCGUCAUUUCAACCCUCGAACCCCUCCGGGGGGUCGGCGUUGGGGAUCGGCCCUGCCUUGGCGGUGGCCGUCUCCGAAAUACAGUGGCGGUCUCGCCGCAGCCUCUCCUGCGCAGUAGUUUGCACACUCGCAUCGGGAGCGCGGCGCGUCCACAGCCGUUAAACACCCAACUUCUGAAAUGUUGACCUCGGAUCAGGUAGGAAUACCCGCUGAACUUAAGCAUAUCAUAA